GCAUACAAGUUAACCGGCCCUUUCUUCUGUGUCAUCAUCAAUCUUUAGUUAUUAUAUUUUUCCACUCUAGAAUUUUUCAUUUUUAUAUUUUUCAUUUCUCAGUUGAGAUUUUUUUUUUAUUAUUUAAUUCUAAGAGUUGCUUUGAAAUAUUUGUUUGCUAAAACCAACAUCUAAGUCACCAAUACUGCCUAUUGACUGCCUCCUUUUCCUGGGUAUAGAUUGAACUCUUCUGCUUAUGUGCAUGUCUACUAACCUAGGUUUAAAAAUUAAACACUGUAGAUGGUAUGGUGUAGUGAUUCUGGAAUCUGUUGUGUUCUGAGUGUUUAUUUAUUUUUAUUCUACCUUGUAGUUAAUCUGCCUGGCCUCAAAUUACAAACUUUGCUUUUAUUGCAUUAUGCAGCUGCUGAAAUCUGUACUCUGGUUUCAAGUAUUUCAGCUGCAGUUAUGCAGCUUUUGUAAAUUGCAUUUGUCAAUAUUUAUAUUUUAUUAUUACUUUUAAAGCCAAUUUGUCAUAGCUCUUUAUGUAUUUGGUAUUUAACCAUUGCUUGAAUAAUUUAGCAAUCCUUCAAAGAUUUGGGCUAAGAUUAUACUCAAAUUUGGGGGCUCGGCUUUUCUGGGGUUUUCUUAUUUCUGGAGAUUCCUUCUGAAUUUCCAGCAGCUCUGCCCUCUAAAUCUCUGUCCUGUGACAUGCCAAGCCCAGGAGGCGCUAGCUUUCUGCCACCUGAGCUGCAGGAUCGGGAAUGUUCUCACUUAAAGCAGUAAACUCACACAUCUCACCUGUGCAGCUCCAAUUUCCAAGACGAGCUCCCUCCCUGAUCUUGUGGCUUUUCCAUUGAGUCCCUGUAGUGUUCCCCACAUAGGCACAGCUUAGCUGCCAGCCCCUGAUCUGGGAGAGGUUCAUAUUUAAAUUUUUUCUUACUCCUGCAGAGCACUCACUCCCAGUCUCCCCUUGAGACUGCCAGCACUUUCCUGUUUUGACUUCUGAUUUUGUGCGGUCAGAGGGUGGGCUGCCUGUCAUUUCUGCAGCCACAGCCUGGGUGCUGGGCAGCUCCCUCUGUCCUCAAAUGCCACCAAUUCACAAUUCUUACUCCUGUCAGUUGCAUUUUUUUAAAAUAGUAUGAACUAUCCCCUGGUUUUUGCCCACUGUUUCCUGCUUUCCAGGUAUCUGCCACCAGCUGUUUUAAAUAUUUUUAUCUAGGUUUUAUAAUUUUAUUUCUGACUUUGCAUGAUCACUUCAGUUUGCUGCAAUUUUUGCCUCUCUCUUUGAUUAAAGAAAUCUCCCUUCAAGUGAGAAACCUAGCACCCAACGUCAUCAUGGUAUUUACCAUGUUGCAAUACAGAAAGCAUUUGGAGAAUUGCUAAUCUAUUCCACUGUGAAAAACAACCUGCUGAGAAAUGCUGCUUCCACCCAGCAACCUGCUGCCUUGAAUAACCAGAAAACGAAAUAAGAUACAUGAGACAACCAUUUCCAACCUUAAACAAUAGUCAGCACAGGAAGAAAAUAACACUGGAAAGACCGGAAAGAAACUAAGCCAGCCAUACAAUUACAUAGCUUACUGCUUGGAAGAAAUUUCCAGGCCGCAGCACAGAAAAGGGAAUAUCAAACAGAGACCAGCAAUUUUGCUGAUUUGAGUAGACAGAGACUGUAGAUUUGAGAGGCCAAGGCAGCUAGAAUUUGCAAUGCAGACUACCAGAGAUAAGGGAACUGCAGGGAGAGUUCCAGAGAUCUACAGGGGGUCCUCUCAUAUCUUUGCCUCAAUAUUAAUCUGUGACUGUGUGUGGCUAAAUCUCCACAGGACUGGGAAAGGAACCACUAGAAAACAGAACUACAAAAGAUUCCUAGAGUUCACACACGUAUAGUAAAUUUUAUACCGCCACCAGCAAAAUUAGAGAGAGUAAUGCAUGGGUGUUGGGCAGAGAUCAUGGAAGGAUGCUGCUUUGGAAGUUAGAGUAAGCUAACCCUAGAUGAGAGGCUGCCGUGGAUCUUCUGCCAAAAAAAGCUGACAAGUGGACUUCAAAAGAAUAAGCUGAUUGUAGGCAGUAUCACAGAGCGCUAGACCAAGUUUCUACAUUCCCCGAAGCGAUAAACAGCACUCAAUAGCAUUAACGUUUAUAAUGCCUGGCAUUCAACGAAGUACCGUUUAUACAAAAUAAGCAUAAUAAUAAAACCCAUAACCAGGAGAAAACUCGGUUAAUAGAAACAUACCCAGUAAUAACAGAGAUUAUGGAAUUUGCAGAUAAAAGCAUUAAGACAGAACACACACACACACAUUUGUUCAAGAUGUAUAGGAAAACAUGAGCAUGAUGGCAAGAGAAAUGUAAUAUGAAGAAAAAAAUCCAAAUUGAGCUUCUGGAGAAUAAAAAUACACAAUGUGAAACAGAAAGUUAGCAGAUUACACUGUGAACACACACACACACCUACACACACACACAGAUUAGUAAACUUGAAGAUAUAACAAUAAAACCUAAACAAAAUGAAGCACACAGGAAAGAUGGAAAAAAUGAGCAGAGCAUCAGGACUUGUGAGAGAAUAUCCAGUGGUCCAAAACAAAUGUAAUCGUCCUACACACAGAGAACAGAGAAGGGGGUGUAGAAAAAUUAUUUGAAGAAUAGUAAAAAUUUUUGAAAUUUGUUAAGAACUAUAAACCAAUAGAUUCAAGAAGAUGAACAAACUUCCAGCAGAAGAAAUAUGAAGGAAACAACACGGGGUCACAUAUUAAUCAGAUUGCUGCAGAAAGAAAAUCUUAAAAGCAGUUUACAUAAGAGGAACACAGAAACAUAUUACAUAAUUAUUUAGGCGUCAUUGUCUUAAUCCCUUUGCUACAAAGGGAUACCUGAGGUUUUAUAAUUUAUAACGGUUAUAAUUUCUUACGGUUCUGCAGAUUGUACAGGAAGCAUGGUGCCAGCCUCUGCUUGUGGUGAGGCCUCAGGAGCUUCCACUCAUGGUGGAAGGUGAAGGGGAGCAGGCAUCACAUGGUGAGAAGAAGAAAGAGAAAAGAGGAAGGUGCCAGCCUCUUUUUGACAAAUCAGAUCUCGAGGUUGACCAAUAGAAUGGGAAGUCCUUUAUUACCAUGAAGACAGUACCAAGCCAUAUACAAGGCAACCGCUCCCAUGACCCAAACGCCUUCCACUAGGCACUUCCUCCAACACUGAGGAUCAAAGUUCAAUAUUAGAUUUGGUGGGGAGAAAUUCCCAAACUGUUUCAGUCAUAAAGAUAAGAAUGGCAGCAUACUUUGCAUCAGAAAAAAAUGCAAGCCAGAAGAAAAUGGAAUGACAUCUUUAAAGUACUAAAAGUAAAGUAUUCUCAAAUGAGAAUUUUAUAACUAAUGAAUACAUCUUUCAAAAAUGAAAGUGGUCUUUUGCUUUUGAGUAUGAGGGACUAAAGCUCUAGCUGAUAACAUCCUCCUUCAGGAAACAACUAUAAACCCAGAACGCAAUACAAAGAAACAUUUCUACUCAAAUGUGCUGUGCUAGAAAGUAAGCAGAGGUAGUUAAGCUUUACUAAAAGCAGUAGGGGAGGACUCCUUACUUAAGGGGUGGAGACGUGGAUUAUGAAUCUAUGAGGUUUAGCCUAUGCUAAAUGCAGUCUGCCUAGCAAGCACAGUGGCAGCACAGUCUCACAUGGAAAAACCUAUAGCCUUUCUGCCUAGGAAACGAGAAAGUCAAUCUGAGACACUGCAGACACUGCAGAGAGCAGAGAAAUUGUUGAAGAGGCAGAGAAGGGAUACUCCACCCUCUCUACCCACAACUCUGAUUGACCUGUGUAUUAGUCUGCUCUUCCAUUGCUAUAAAGUACUACCUGAGACUGGAUAAUUUAUAAAGAAAAGAGGUUUAAUUAGCUGACAGUUCUGCAGGCUGUGCAGGAAGCAUGGCUAUGGAGGCCUCAGGAAACUUACAAUCAUGGCAGAGGGUGAAGGAGAAGAGGGCACAUCUUCACAUGGCUGGAGUAGGAGGAAAAGAGAGAAGGGAGAAGUGCCAUACACUUUGAAACGACCAUAUCUUGUGAGAAUUCACUUAAGGAGAACUCACUGUUUUGAGAACAGCAAGGGGGAAAUCCAUCCCCUUGAUCCAAUCACCUCUCACCAGGCCCCUCCUCUGACAUUGGGAUUACAGUUCGAAAUGAGAUUUGGGCAAGGACACAAAUCCAAACCAUAACAAUCUGAAACACACAUGUGCAGAGCAGACUCAUGCAGCUUAGCUAGAAGCAAAGUAUCUGAAUGAAGCUAUCCCAAGAUAGAGAGUUUAAAGUUCAAACUCAGCCAAGAAAAUUACUUGCCAAAACAAAGAGAACACAGGUUUUCAGAGAAAAUAACAGAAUCCAGAAUGCCAACACUUCAAUACUCACAAUUUCUAAAAUAUAGUCCAAAGUUAAAUGACAUAUGAAAAAACAAGAAAAUAAAAUACAUUCUGAAGAGGGAAGAAAAGAUAAAUAAUUUAGCAAGAACUCAAAUGACAAAAAUGUUAAAACUAUAUUUUAAAGAGGUUGUUAUAAUUAUCCUAAAUAAAGGAAAACAAGACGUAUU
rnacentral:lncRNA from 10 species